AUUGAACGCUGGCGGCAUGCCUUACACAUGCAAGUCGAACGGUAACAGGUUAAGCUGACGAGUGGCGAACGGGUGAGUAAUGUAUCGGUACGUGCCCAGUCGUGGGGGAUAACUGCUCGAAAGAGCAGCUAAUACCGCAUACGACCUGAGGGUGAAAGCGGGGGAUCGCAAGACCUCGCGCGAUUGGUGCGGCGGAUAUCAGACUAGGUAGUUGGUGGGGGAACGGCUAACCAGGCGGACGACCUAUAGCUGGCCUGAGAGGAGGACCGGCCACACUGGGAGUGAAACACGGCCCAGACUCCUACGGGAGGCAGCAGUGGGGAAUUUUGGACAAUGGGCGCGAGCAUGAUCCAGCCAUGCCGCGUGCGGGAAGAAGGCCUUCGGGUUUUGAACCGCUUUUGUCAGGGAAGAAAAGGUUCUGGCUAAUACCUGGGACUCAUGACGGUACCUGAAGAAUAAGCACCGGCUAACUACGUG
rnacentral:rRNA from 1 species